rnacentral:rRNA from 1 species
GAUGAACGCUGGCGGCGUGCCUAAUACAUGCAAGUCGAGCGAACAGAUGAGGAGCUUGCUCCUCUGACGUUAGCGGCGGACGGGUGAGUAACACGUGGAUAACCUACCUAUAAGACUGGGAUAACUUCGGGAAACCGGAGAUAAUACCGGAUAAUAUAUUGAACCGCAUGGUGCAAUAGUGAAAGACGGUUUUGCUGUCACUUAUAGAUGGAUCCGCGCCGCAUUAGCUAGUUGGUAAGGUAACGGCUUACCAAGGCAACGAUGCGUAGCCGACCUGAGAGGGUGAUCGGCCACACUGGAACUGAGACACGGUCCAGACUCCUACGGGAGGCAGCAGUAGGGAAUCUUCCGCAAUGGGCGAAAGCCUGACGGAGCCACGCCGCGUGAGUGAUGAAGGUCUUCGGAUCGUAAAACUCUGUUAUUAGGGAAGAACAAAUGUGUAAGUAACUAUGCACGUCUUGACGGUACCUAAUCAGAAAGCCACGGCUAACUACGUG